rnacentral:rRNA from 1 species
CCGACUGCUAUUUGGGUGAGGAUAAGCCAUGCGAGUUGAAUGGGAUACCCAAAGUUCCCAUGGCAAACUGCUCAGUAACACAUGAUCAACUUACCCUAUAGAGGAAAAUAACCUCGGGAAACUGAGGAUAAUAUUCCAUAGUUGAAUCGGCUUGGAAAAGUUUUUCAAUAAAAGGGAUAAGGAAAAUGGUUCUUAUCUGCUAUAGGAUAGGAUCGUGUUCGAUUAUGGUUGUUGGUGAGGUAAAGGCUCACCAAGCCGAUAAUCGAUAGGGGCCGUGAGAGCGGGAGCCCCGAGAUGGGUACUGAGACAACGACCCAGGCCUUACGAGGCGCAGCAGGCGCGAAACCUCCGCAAUACACGAAAGUGUGACGGGGUUACCCAAAGUGUUCUAUUUAGAACUGUGGUAGGUGAGUAAUGUCCCCUACUAGAAAGGAGAGGGCAAGGCUGGUGCCAGCCGCCGCGGUAAAACCAGCUCUUCAAGUGGUCGGGAUAAUUAUUGGGCUUAAAGUGUCCGUAGCCGGUUUAGUAAGUUCCUGGUAAAAUCGGGUAGCUUAACUAUCUAUAUGCUAGGAAUACUGCUAUACUAGAGGGCGGGAGAGGUCUGAGGUACUACAGGGGUAGGGGUGAAAUCUUAUAAUCCUUGUAGGACCACCAGUGGCGAAGGCGUCAGACUGGAACGCGCCUGACGGUGAGGGACGAAAGCCAGGGGAGCGAACCGGAUUAGAUACCCGGGUAGUCCUGGCCGUAAACGAUGCAUACUAGGUGAUGGCACGGCCAUGAGCCGUGUCAGUGCCGUAGGGAAACCGUUAAGUGUGCCGCCUGGGAAGUACGGUCGCAAGG